ACUUAUUUAGUAUAAAAUAGUACAUAAAACUUCCAAUUUUAAAGUUUAUUUUUAAAUAAGUA
rnacentral:tRNA from 1 species